GCAGUACGUUGAUGUGGAUUCAGCCUUGGACUGAGGGAGGGAGUUUCAUUCCCUUGGACGUCCCAGGGAGCACAUUAUUCGAAAGCGGCUCUCAGGUAUGACAGACAAGUACGGCACAGAAGAUCUGCUUACCACAUGGUGGACAGGAAGCAGGGACAAUCACAGGAAGACCCAGGAAGGGAGAUAUAACCUCCAGGUCACACCGACAGCGACUCACCUCUUCUGAACAGAUCCCUGCUUCUAACAGCAAGUCAGCCAUAACACCCCUCUAAUCCCAUCACCUUCCAAAGGCCCUGCUGGUGUCCACACGAGGCUUUGAGGGGACAUCCGGAUACAAACCACAACAGGUGUGGCGUUUCCAUCAGCCUUAAAUAUUAACUCUUCAACGCUCUACGGAAGUGAUGGCUCACAUCUGGGGUGAUACAGGUUCGCUUCCCCAGUGAAUUCUACAGUGAGAUUUAAGGAAGCACCUGAGACUCUGGACAGCAGAAGGCAACCGAGGUCUUUCUUCUUCCCACCUGCCCUGGAGAACAGGUAUGACAGACAAGUGGCUGUGGAGAACAACUGUCCUUGUCCUCUCCACUAUGGGGAGCUCGAGCUUCCAGGGACCAUGGGUGCCAUUGACAGCUCAUUACUCCUUUGAAGAAAAAUACUUUUAAAUUGCAAAAUGUAUCCUACGUGUCAAAGUGAGUGUAAGAUGUGUGUGUACAAUCGAAGAAUAACAGCAGAGCACACCAUAUACGACCCCUUGCAGGGCACACAUAGGCCUCAGAAGCCUGGUGCAUGUGCACACGAGCACACGCCCAGCCUUCCUCCCUACCCCUUCUUUCUCCAGUUUUGUUGUUAUUUCAAAUAUUUACCACUUACACAAGAGUCACACUGCUUAUAUUUAACUCAAGGCAAGGUUGGUCCUAAGGGCUUAAAUCUGAGCUGCCUAGAUUCUACCUUAGCCUUACAGCUGACCAGCUGUACAGUAGUGGGAAAGGAAUUCAGCUUCUAUGUGCCUCAGUUCCCACACCUGUGAAAUGGGAGCAAGCGUAGUUGCUACCUUAUAGAGUUUCUGGUGCAAGCCUCUCUAACAGGCCCUGGUGUGUAAUAAACACCAUGAUGAUAGCAGUUAUUGUCAUGUACGUAUGCUGAAAUCUGCUUUCCUGUGGAACAGUGUUCACAAAUGUCUAGUGAAGGGCUUUCAGGAGACAUUUCCAGUCCAUUGUGGUCUGAUACUCUGGUAAAAUAGAAUAACAUUGGCUAAUUUUAAAAGAUGAAAUAAAAAGCACAGAUAUUCAAGUUUUUAUUGUUAGAGUCAACAGAAAUAAAACUACAAUAUCAGACUGCUGUGUUUAUAAG